CCUCUCAUCCUUGAGUCGUCCGCCUGGUCGCUCCGCUGCAGAUCCGCCAUCCUCCGCUUCUCCCGCGCGAUCUGUGCCGUCGCCGGUGGCUGACCUUACCCCAUGGCGGCGCUCUGCCAUGGAUUGGUUUAAGGUCAUCCGUUCGCUGGGAUUACUGCAUCUGGUGGCCGCGGCUGCUUCUGUUGUACUGCUGUUCAGUUGCUUCCGUUCUACUCUCCUCGCAGGUCAUCGCCUUGCUGGGAUUGCCGCCUCGGGUGGCCGCGGCUGCUUUUGUUGGACUGAUGUUCGGUUACAUCCCUGAUUAUUUGUUGUUGUGAGCUGUUGCUGGAAUUGUCCGUGACGUGUUGUUGGGACUCCUUGAUUCUCAGGUAAUGAUCUCUGCCCGUUUGGUAUCAGCACUUUAUUAUGCGUCGUGAUAAUUAUCGUCGUGUGUUUGCAAACAGCAAAUGGCUUAAUAUAACCAGUGGAUCAUGCCUUAUAAUUUUGCCAUGUUCAGAAAUACCGGGCCACAUAAAUGUUGAGUGGUGUAACAAAGCUCAGGUGAUGAAGUACUUGUUCAAGUAUGUUACAGAAGGUCCAGAUUGCUCCAAUCUAUAUUUGAAGAGGAUUAGAGGCAAAGGUGUUCAUGUUGGUAGCGAUGGUCUGGCUUCCGCUGAGACUCUCUUGUCUGCUCGGGGCACCUCAACAACCGCUACCACUGAUAUGUUGGAUGCUCUAGCUUCUUCUGACAUGUCUACUUCUACGCGAUGGCAAGGGUGAUAUCGGCUCACAGGUCAAGAGGGCCAUGUUCACGGAAUCUUCGCCUGAACAAGCCAUGGGAGCCGUGGAAGAGCUGGCCCCUCAAGUUGAGUCUGAAGAGGCGCAACCAACAGCGGACUCAGGCAGAUGGAGCGGGCAAGAAGGCCUGACCUAGAGACAGAAGUGGUGCCUCUAGGUGACGGAGGCCUUUUGUAGUUGUUUUCUCGCCGUAGUGUACCUACCGUGGGAGUUGAGGGUUAUGUCCCUCCAUUUUGUAGUAUGAACCAGUUACCUGGUGCAACAGUCCUCCUGUGCAUCUCAUCUGGAUGGCGGUUCUACCCUUCGUUGACAUUAGCUCUAUGCGCCUGGUGACAUUAGCUCUAUGCACCUGCUUUUGAUUCACUCUAUUGCCAGUUACUUCUGCACUUUGCUUCGUCAUGUGGUGUGCUUGGCCAGGAAAGACAUGUGUGAAUUCC